rnacentral:rRNA from 1 species
AUUGAACGCUGGCGGCAUGCUUUACACAUGCAAGUCGAACGGUAACAGGCCUUCGGGUGCUGACGAGUGGCGAACGGGUGCGUAAUGCAUCGGAACGUGCCCAGAGGUGGGGGAUAACGCAGCGAAAGCUGUGCUAAUACCGCAUGUGAUCUGAGGAUGAAAGCGGGGGACCAGGCAGCAAUGUUUGGCCUCGCGCCUUUGGAGCGGCCGAUGUCAGAUUAGGUAGUUGGUGGGGUAAAGGCCUACCAAGCCGACGAUCUGUAGCUGGUCUGAGAGGACGACCAGCCACACUGGGACUGAGACACGGCCCAGACUCCUACGGGAGGCAGCAGUGGGGAAUUUUGGACAAUGGGCGCAAGCCUGAUCCAGCAAUGCCGCGUGCGGGAAGAAGGCCUUCGGGUUGUAAACCGCUUUUGUACGGAACGAAAAGGCUCUGGCUAAUACCUGGGGCUGAUGACGGUACCGGAAGAAUAAGCACCGGCUAACUACGUG